CGGGCUGUGGCGCAGUUGGUAGCGCGCGUCGUUCGGGACGACGAGGCCGUGGGUUCGAGUCCCGCCAGCCCGA
rnacentral:tRNA from 1 species